rnacentral:rRNA from 1 species
ACGGAGGGUGCAAGCGUUACUCGGAAUCACUGGGCGUAAAGAGCGUGUAGGCGAGAAUAUAAAUCAGAAGGGAAAUCCAAUAGCUUCACUAUUGAAAUGCUUUUGAAACUGUAUACCUAGAAUGUGGGAGAGGUAGAUGGAAUUUCUGGUGUAGGGGUAAAAUCCGUAGAGAUCAGAAGGAAUACCGAUUGCGAAGGCGAUCUACUAGAACAUUAUUGACGCUGAGACGCGAAAGCGUGGGGAGCAAACAG